ACUCCUACGGGAGGCAGCAGUGGGGAAUAUUGGACAAUGGGGGAAACCCUGAUCCAGCCAUGCCGCGUGUGUGAAGAAGGCCUUCGGGUUGUAAAGCACUUUCAGUGGGGAGGAAAGGUUGAUGGUUAAUACCUAUCAGCUGUGACGUUACCCACAGAAGAAGCACCGGCUAACUACGUGCCAGCAGCCGCGGUAAUACGUAGGGUGCGAGCGUUGUCCGGAAUUACUGGGCGUAAAGAGCUCGUAGGUGGUUUGUCGCGUUGUUCGUGAAAACCUGAGGCUUAACCUUGGGCGUGCGGGCGAUACGGGCAGACUGGAGUACUGCAGGGGAGACUGGAAUUCCUGGUGUAGCGGUGGAAUGCGCAGAUAUCAGGAGGAACACCGGUGGCGAAGGCGGGUCUCUGGGCAGUAACUGACGCUGAGGAGCGAAAGCGUGGGGAGCGAACAGGAUUAGAUACCCUGGUAGGCGUAGU
rnacentral:rRNA from 1 species